UGUGUGAGUGUGUGUAUGUGUAAACACAUAUAUGUAUAUGCAUAUAUGUGUACAUACACAUACACAAACACACAUAUAUACAUACACAUA
rnacentral:miRNA from 1 species